rnacentral:rRNA from 1 species
UACAGAGGGUGCAAGCGUUGUUCGGAAUUAUUGGGCAUAAAGGGCGCGUAGGCGGGCCAUCAAGUCAGGGGUGAAAGCCCCCAGCUCAACUGGGGAAGUGCCUCUGAUACUGGUGGCCUCGAGGGAGGUAGGGGCGUGCGGAACUUCCGGUGGAGCGGUGAAAUGCGUAGAUAUCGGAAGGAACACCGGUGGCGAAAGCGGCGCGCUGGACCUCUUCUGACGCUGAGGCGCGAAAGCCAGGGGAGCGAACGGG